rnacentral:snoRNA from 1 species
CUAAAUGAUGCUUUAUUUACCACAACUCACGACGGUCUUCUGUGCCUAAAAUACUGGCCUUGAUGAUAUGCGCCUCUGACCAGGCGUGGUUCUGAUA